GAAAGGAUCAUUAACGCUCUCUCUCAACAACAACAAAAGGUCUGGGGGAGGACCUAAACCCUCCCCCAGACUGAACAACGCGCCCCACUAUCGCUGCUGCCCCAUCCGUACGUAAUUACACCACACACGCGCGAGCGUGUGUGUGUGUGUGUGCGCGGUGUGUGGCGGUGUGUGGCGCGCUCGAAAUCUCGCCAUCUGGCGGGGGGGGGUGUGUGGUGUUGCGCGUGUGUGACGUGUGUGUGUGGUGACACGCACACACGUCACACACGCCACGCCACGCCCCUCUCUCCGCCAUUAUGGCGAGUGGUUGAAGUUCCCUCGCGGCGCGGUAUUGCGCCACGAUUUUUGAUUCAAAAACACACGCCAAAAAAACACACACAUUAAAAUCUCUCUCUCUCUUUUCGCGUUCGUGGCGGGGCCAACACAACAUUGUUGCCCAUGCGCGAACGAAAAAAGAGAAGAAGAAGAAGAACAACAAAAAAACAUACACAAAAUACAACUCCUAACAACGGAUAUCUUGGUUCUCGCGAGGAUGAAGAACGCAGCGAAAUGCGAUACGUAGUGUGAAUCGCAGGGAUCAGUGAAUCAUCGAAUCUUUGAACGCAUGUUGCGCUCUCGUGGUCACCCCCCGAGAGCACGUUCGCUUGAGUGCCGCUCUAUUUUUAUAUAUCAAUUUCUCCCUCCUCCUCCUCUCUCUCGCUCGCUAUUUAUAAUAGCGAGAGAGAGAGAGAGAGGCCAAAGAGAGAGAAGAUACGGGCUUUGUGUGUGUGUCGCGCACACACACGCAACACACACACACACAUGGCCUUAGAUUGAAAGAGAUCGAGAGUUUUGUCGUGGUGGUGGUGGGGAGGGCGCGCGUUUUACAACGUGUGUCUCCUUCCCACCACCACCACCACCACCCAUUUAUUAUUGGGACUCCCCAAUUCUCUCCUAGUGGGCUGUUCGCGUUUUUCUCUUCUUCUUUCUUGCUUGCUUUUUGCCCCAUCCCAAUUGCGCGCGGUGUGUCUGGUGUUCUUCGUGGGCUGGCCGUGUGUGUUUUUUGCGAUAUCGCGCACCGUGAGUGGUUUUUUUUGCUCUCUCUGGAUUCACGAGGCGAGAGAGCGAGAGAUGACCGAGCGGCGUGCGGGGGUUUUGAUUGGUGUGGUAUGGGUGUGGGCGUGCCCCGUGCACGCACACGCACACACAAUAACGAUCAACGACCAACGCCACGUUGCUCAAUUAUUCUCUCGUCCCCCGCCCCCGUGGAGAGAGAGAGAGAGAGAGAGAGGCCAUUCGCGUGCGCACGCCACAAGGCAAGAUAUUGGAAAAAUCCACGCACACACGUUUGUAUCAAAACACGAAGGACACAACCAAACACAAAGCGUGGGAUGAGAGAGAGAGUGGAGUGAGAGAGAGGACCCAAAAGAGAAAAAAAAGGGCAUGCACGCGCGGAGCGGUGGAAGGGUCUCACACAUUAAUGGGCGCGCACAAAAAAAAAACUCGAAUAUCUUGCACAACAACAACUAAAACACACAAAACCCGGCCUCAAGUCGAGCGACAGUACCCGCUGAAUUUAAGCAUAUUAAUAAGCGGAGGAAAAGAAACCAACAGGGAUUCCCUUAGUAGCGGCGAGCGAAGCGGGAGGAGCCCAAGCUCUGAAUCUGGGCGCGCGUCAAGUUUCGUGCCCCGAAUUGUGGUCUCGUGGCAAGGCAUCGCUGAGGCGACCGCGUUGGGCAAAAGUCCCUUGGAAAAGGGCGCCAGGGAGGGUGACAGCCCCGUCCAUUGGUCCAGCGUUUUUAUCGGCCGUCUCGAUCGCGCGUUGUUGCUCUUGCCCCAGAGUCGGGUUGUUUGGGAAUGCAGCCCUAAGCGGGUGGUAAAUCCCACCCAAGGCUAAAUAUUGACAGCGAGAGACCGAUAGCGAACAAGUACCGUGAGGGAAAGGUGAAAAGGACUUUGAAAAGAGAGUCAAAAGUGCUUGAAAUUGUUAGGAGGGAAGCGAUCGGCGCCGGCGGUUCGCUUUUUCUAUCCUUGGACCGUUCAAUGGUGCCGCCGUCAGGCAGGGCUUGCGGGGUCGAGGAGCGCUCACGCGCCUUCGUUCCGUGUUCAUCUCCUGGCGCGAGCCAUGCAUUCGGUCUAUGGGGGCGAGCCAGCAUCGGCUUCAUGUUUGUGGUGGCUGACGGGUAUUGGGUUGAGGGCCCGAUGGGCUGGCCUCACGGUUGUGUCCCAUCGGCGCGACCCAGUAUAACCUGCCAUCACAGGGGCCGAGGAAAAAGAACCCAUGCUCGCGAGGGCGAGGCAUCGCGUCACCAUGGCGGAUCCGCGUGCGGGGAUCGGGAACCGAUGCCCGUGUGUCGUGGUCUGUCGUUCGUGCGCGCGAGUCCAUCUCCGGUGGGUUAGUGAUGCUGGCGGAACGGCGCUGAUCGACCCGUCUUGAAACACGGACCAAGGAGUCUAACACGUGCGCGAGUGUCCGGGUGGCAAACCUGGGCGCGGAGUGAAAGCAGAGGGCAACACCAUACGGUUGCCUGAGGUGGGAAGGAGGGCGAGGCCAGCGCCGUAAAAACGUGUUGGUCCCUCCUGCACCACCGGCCGACCUGGAUUUUCUUGAAAGGUUUGAGCCAGAGCGUAUUUGUUGGGACCCGAAAGAUUGUGAACUAUGGGUGACCAGGACGAAGCCAGAGGAAACUCUGGUGGAGGUCCGAAGUGAUACUGACGUGCAAAUCGUUCAUCUGAGUUGCCUAUAGGGGCGAAAGACUAAUCGAACAAUCUAGUAGCUGGUUCCCUC
rnacentral:misc_RNA from 1 species